GACGAACGCUGGCGGCGUGCCUAAUACAUGCCAGUUGAGCGCUGAAGGUUGGUACUUGUACCAACUGGAUGAGCAGCGAACGGGUGAGUAACGCGUGGGGAAUCUGCCUUUGAGCGGGGGACAACAUUUGGAAACGAAUGCUAAUACCGCAUAAAAACUUUAAACACAAGUUUUAAGUUUGAAAGAUGCAAUUGCAUCACUCAAAGAUGAUCCCGCGUUGUAUUAGCUAGUUGGUGAGGUAAAGGCUCACCAAGGCGAUGAUACAUAGCCGACCUGAGAGGGUGAUCGGCCACAUUGGGACUGAGACACGGCCCAAACUCCUACGGGAGGCAGCAGUAGGGAAUCUUCGGCAAUGGACGAAAGUCUGACCGAGCAACGCCGCGUGAGUGAAGAAGGGUUUCGGGUCGUAAAACUCUGUUGGUAGAGAAGAACGUUGGUGAGAGUGGAAAGCUCAUCAAGUGACGGUAACUACCCAGAAAGGGACGGCUAACUACGUG
rnacentral:rRNA from 1 species